CUGGGCCUGAAGUCUUUGAUCCUGACUCGGGGAUUCCACAGACCUGCAGCCACCCCCGCCAGCAGCAGCCCCAGUGCCAUCCGUGUAAGGGGCUGGUUCCUCCAUGAAGCAGCUGAGCGGCCUUCCAGGCCCUGAGUCUUCAUACGCAGUUCUAGAAGGGGAAGACCACAGCCCACAUCACAAUACCGGCUGAAGACCAAGAAGCACCCUUAUUUUUCUUGCAGUGUAUUUGUUGAAGACACCAGGUUGUCUGCUACAGUCUACAGGGUGCCCCCCUCUGGAUGGAGCUUAUCCCCGGGGCUGUGCAACCCAUUCCCGUCCCCUGGACCUCCAAGAUUUAUAAUUCUUUACUGAUGCUCUUUGGCCAGCGGGAACCUCUGUAAAUUGGAUCCUGAGCCUUUGGGGCACUACCCCACUAGUUCUGACAGCUUCCUUUACAAACGAGGAAACUGGAUCCCAGUGUUAUCCCAAGACUGCACCUCAAGUAUUCAACGCAUUGAAAAGGUGUGAAGGAAACUUUCAUACAGUGCGAGAGCCUGGGCAGCAGAGAACUCAGUGGGCAUCGCUGCAGUGAUACGUACCCUUCAUUUUCUAACAGCCCUCUGCAGUCUACCACGGACCCUCCAGUGCCUAUUCUGUCUCGUGUCUGUAAACUGACUAAAAAGAAAAGAACAUCCUGCAUUAAAAUCCAGUGGUAUUUUAUACAACUGUAACACAGUGAGCCAUUGCAAAUGUGUAAUUUAUGUAUGAUA